rnacentral:rRNA from 1 species
AUUGAACGCUGGCGGCAGGCCUAACACAUGCAAGUCGAGCGGAUGAGUGGAGCUCGCUCCAUGAUUCAGCGGCGGACGGGUGAGUAAUGCCUAGGAAUCUGCCUGGAAGUGGGGGACAACGUUUCGAAAGGAACGCUAAUACCGCAUACGUCCUACGGGAGAAAGUGGGGGAUCUUCGGACCUCACGCUAUCAGAUGAGCCUAGGUCGGAUUAGCUAGUUGGUGAGGUAAAGGCUCACCAAGGCGACGAUCCGUAACUGGUCUGAGAGGAUGAUCAGUCACACUGGAACUGGGACACGGUCCAGACUCCUACGGGAGGCAGCAGUGGGGAAUAUUGCGCAAUGGGCGAAAGCCUGACGCAGCGACGUCGCGUGAAGGAUGAAGGUCUUCGGAUUGUAAACUUCUGUUAAGUGGGAAGAAAGCUCCGCCAAUAAUACGGGCGGGGGAUGACGGUACCAUUAGAGAAAGCACCGGCUAACUUCGUGCCAGCCGCCGCGGUAACAC